GGCGUAGGUGGCCUUUCAAGUCCGAUGUGAAAUCUCCCGGCUUAACUGGGAGGGUGCAUCGGAUACUGUGGGGCUGGAGUGCAGCAGAGGGAGAUGGAAUUCCCGGUGUAGUGGUGAAAUGCGUAGAUAUCGGGAGGAACACUAGUGGCGAAGGCGGUCUCCUGGGAUGUUACUGACACUGAGGCCCGAAGGCGUGGGGAGCAAACAGGAUUAGAUACCCUGGUAGUCCACGCAGUAAACGAUGGGUACUAGGUAUGGGGAGUAUCGACCCUCUCCGUGCCGAAGCUAACGCUUUAAGUACCCCGCCUGGGGAGUGCGGUCGCAAGACUAAA
rnacentral:rRNA from 1 species